rnacentral:rRNA from 1 species
AACGAACGCUGGCGGCAUGCCUAACACAUGCAAGUCGAACGAGACCUUCGAGUCUAGUGGCGCACGGGUGCGUAACGCGUGGGAACCUGCCCUUAGGUUCGGAAUAACUCCCCGAAAGGGGUGCUAAUACCGGAUAAUGUCUUCGGACCAAAGAUUUAUCGCCUUUGGAUGGGCCCGCGUUGGAUUAGCUAGUUGGUAGGGUAAAAGCCUACCAAGGCGACGAUCCAUAGCUGGUCUGAGAGGAUGAUCAGCCACACUGGGACUGAGACACGGCCCAGACUCCUACGGGAGGCAGCAGUGGCGAAUAUUGGACAAUGGGCGAAAGCCUGAUCCAGCAAUGCCGCGUGAGUGAUGAAGGCCUUAGGGUUGUAAAGCUCUUUUACCCGGGAUGAUAAUGACAGUACCGGGAGAAUAAGCUCCGGCUAACCCCGUG